rnacentral:rRNA from 1 species
GCUGGCGGCACGCCUAAUACAUGCAAGUCGAACGAAGUAGCAAUACUUAGUGGCAGACGGGUGAGUAACAUGUGGGUAUCUUCCCUUUGGUGAGGAAUAACACGAGGAAACUUGUGCUAAUACCUCAUAAGUCUUUACGGAGAAAGCUUUAUGCGCCAAUGGAUGAGCCCGCACUUGAUUAGUUUGUUGGUAGGGUAAUGGCCUACCAAGACUAUGAUCAAUAGCUGAUUUGAGAGGAUGAUCAGCCACAUUGGGACUGAGACACGGCCCAAACUCCUACGGGAGGCAGCAGUAGGGAAUCUUGCACAAUGGAGGAAACUCUGAUGCAGCGAUGCCGCGUGAGUGAAGAAGGCCUUUGGGUUGUAAAGCUCUUUCGUCGGGGAAGAAAAUGACUGUACCCGAAUAAGAAGGUCCGGCUAACUUCGUGCCAGCAGCCGCGGUAAUACGAAGGGACCUAGCGUAGUUCGGAAUUACUGGGCUUAAAGAGUUCGUAGGUGGUUAAAAAAGUUGGUGGUGAAAGCCCAGAGCUUAACUCUGGAACUGCCAUCAAAACUUUUUAGCUAGAGUAUGAUAGAGGAAAGCAGAAUUUCUAGUGUAGAGGUGAAAUUCGUAGAUAUUAGAAAGAAUACCAAUUGCGAAGGCAGCUUUCUGGAUCAUUACUGACACUGAGGAACGAAAGCAUGGGUAGCGAAGAGGAUUAGAUACCCUCGUAGUCCAUGCCGUAAACGAUGUGUGUUAGAUGUUGGAAAUUUAUUUUCAGUAUCGCAGCGAAAGCAAUAAACACACCGCCUGGGGAGUACGACC